GACGAACGCCGGCGGCGUGCUUAACACAUGCCAGUCGAACGGAAAGGCCCUGCUUUUGUGGGGUGCUCGAGUGGCGAACGGGUGAGUAACACGUGAGUAACCUGCCCUUGACUUUGGGAUAACUUCAGGAAACUGGGGCUAAUACCGGAUAGGAGCUCCUGCUGCAUGGUGGGGGUUGGAAAGUUUCGGCGGUUGGGGAUGGACUCGCGGCUUAUCAGCUUGUUGGUGGGGUAGUGGCUUACCAAGGCUUUGACGGGUAGCCGGCCUGAGAGGGUGACCGGCCACAUUGGGACUGAGAUACGGCCCAGACUCCUACGGGAGGCAGCAGUGGGGAAUAUUGCACAAUGGGCGGAAGCCUGAUGCGGCAACGCCGCGUGCGGGAUGACGGCCUUCGGGUUGUAAACCGCUUUCGCCUGUGACGAAGCGUGAGUGACGGUAAUGGGUAAAGAAGCACCGGCUAACUACGUG
rnacentral:rRNA from 1 species